UACGUAGGUGGCGAGCGUUGUCCGGAUUUACUGGGCGUAAAGGGAGCGUAGGCGGACUUUUAAGUGAGAUGUGAAAUACUCGGGCUCAACUUGAGUGCUGCAUUUCAAACUGGAAGUCUAGAGUGCAGGAGAGGAGAAUGGAAUUCCUAGUGUAGCGGUGAAAUGCGUAGAGAUUAGGAAGAACACCAGUGGCGAAGGCGAUUCUCUGGACCGUAACUGGCGCUGAGGCUCGAAAGCGUGGGGAGCAAACAGG
rnacentral:rRNA from 1 species